rnacentral:rRNA from 1 species
AUUGAACGCUGGCGGCAUGCCUUACACAUGCAAGUCGAACGGUAACGGGUCCUUCGGGAUGCCGACGAGUGGCGAACGGGUGAGUAAUAUAUCGGACCGUGCCCAGUAGUGGGGGAUAACUGCUCGAAAGAGCAGCUAAUACCGCAUACGACCUGAGGGUGAAAGGGGGGGAUCGCAAGACCUCUCGCUAUUGGAGCGGCCGAUAUCAGAUUAGCUAGUUGGUGGGGCAAAGGCCAACCAAGGCAACGAUCUGUAGUUGGUCUGAGAGGACGACAAGCCACACUGGGGCUGUGACACGGCCCAGACUCCUACGGGAGGCAGCAGUGGGGAAUUUUGGACAAUGGGCGCAAGCCUGAUCCAGCAAUGCCGCGUGCAGGAAGAAGGCCUUCGGGUUGUAAACUGCUUUUGUCAGGGAAGAAAUCUUCUGGGCUAAUACCCCGGGAGGAUGACGGUACCUGAAGAAUAAGCACCGGCUAACUACGUGCCAGCCGCCGCUGUAA